UACAUAGCAGGAGGCUCUCCUGUCAGUGCUUUAAAUAGCUUGAACUCUUCUGGAAUUGCCAUGUCCUGAAUUUUGUCAGUCAUUCCAUUGAUACUUCUUGGAGCCAGAGUAACUGAGCUGAAAAUGUGCCUCCUUCAUCAGCUGAAAGAUGACUGGAGAUAUAACACGUUUUUUCUCCCUAAGUCUGUAACUUUUGUCAAAUAUUUCAAAACACUAGUGAUUUAUGUACUUCUCAGUUUAAAAGACUUCUUUUUCUCUCUUUCUUGCCUACUCUCAAGCAGGUAAUUAACAUUUUAUUCUUGCUGAUGAUGUAAAUAACUUAGGAGAACAUCUACAUUUUUAAUUAAUGCUUUGCCACUGCUUGGGUGAUACUCUUCCCAGAGAGAUUUUUGACUCUUCCUCUAUAAUACACUUUGCCUUCUUUAAUGUGUUUCUAGGUGGUUAAAAUUUAGACCCAUGCUAAGAAAUGGGAUCAUGUCUAUGGGAUUGUUUUCUUGAAGUUAUUGUUACCAAAUCCUUUCUACUUUUGGUAACUCUUACACAGGGCAAGCAGAUGGUAGGAUGAAAAAUAUCACAGGGUGAAACCAUUCAAGUUUUCUAAACAGCUCCUGUAUUAAUGAAGUAACAUUUAUUUUUCAGUGAAAAACUUAUGGGUCAGAAUCUCCCAAUUCAGACUUUGUAAAAGACACUAAAAUGGUGCAAACACAUCUACCAGUUGCCAAGGGAGUACAAGUAAUCAAGUGUGUUCUGCAGUUGCCCUGUUGUAUUUUUUUCCUUAUUUAUCUGCACUUGGCAUCUAGACUAGCCUGGAUGAUCUUAUAGCCUGCCCUAAUAUAGUUAUUUCACCUUUGUUUUGUCAGAUGUAAGGUUCUCUAUGCAUUAAAAAGUCACUAAUUCUGGAAGCUUCUAAAGUUAAUUCUAACCCCUGUUUUCUUUAGGUCUGUGUAUAGUGCUGCUCUUUUCAAAUCUUUAAAUUGACGCUGAGACUAAAUCUUUCUUCUUGCUUUUUUUAAUCAAGUGCUCUUGUGCAUUUGUGCAGUAAAUCCAUACAGUUUAUUGGGAUCAUGGGAAAGGAGAGUUGCAAUGAUAGAUGCUUCUGUUAGGAAUAGCAACAGAACAUAAAUAUUUGAGGGAUUACUCAGUAGUGGGCAAUGGAUGUUUUGUCCCUGUGAUGUGUCAGUCUCUAAUUAGCAGCAGAAGGCAAGGCCUUAACUACAGGGUGGAUUUUCAGCAGUAGCUGCCAAGAUGUGAGAGAGGCGGAGAAAGCAGAUCAAGCUGUUAAACACACUACCAGGAUCAGGAGAAUUUUGGGUGAUAAGAAAAUGUUACAUUCCUUUUGAACACCUUUCUAGGAAGGUGGUGCUGAAAUAAAUGUUAGAAACUUCUCAACUUGCCUGUCUGACUGUAGUCAGCUCUGGCAGAACUGAUGUGUGCUUGAAAAUUGGGUUUGAAACUGGUGAAAGCUAAAAUAAAAGCUGUCUUGGCAGGCUUUUUCAUCUGAACAUCAGGAGAGAAAAAAAAGGUGGCUGUGGAGAUCACCAAAAACAAGAGGAAACUCAGCUCCUUUCUAAGCUGAUGUUUUCUUUUGCUGAAGAGCCCAGUUGUAUUCUGCUUCCAAAACAAUAGCGUUUCAAAAGGUAGGGGAGUUGUGACCUCCUUUGAUGGAAGAUCACACAUCUGAA